rnacentral:rRNA from 1 species
ACGGGUGAGUAACACGUGGGUGAUCUGCCCUGCACUUCGGGAUAAGCCUGGGAAACUGGGUCUAAUACCGGAUAUGACCUCCUGUUGCAUGGCGGGGGGUGGAAAGAUUUAUCGGUGCAGGAUGGGCCCGCGGCCUAUCAGCUUGUUGGUGGGGUAAUGGCCUACCAAGGCGACGACGGGUAGCCGACCUGAGAGGGUGGCCGGCCACACUGGGACUGAGACACGGCCCAGACUCCUACGGGAGGCAGCAGUGGGGAAUAUUGCACAAUGGGCGAAAGCCUGAUGCAGCGACGCCGCGUGAGGGAUGACGGCCUUCGGGUUGUAAACCUCUUUCAGCAGGGACGAAGCGCAAGUGACGGUACCUGCAGAAGAAGCACCGGCUAACUACGUGCCAGCAGCCGCGGUAAUACGUAGGGUGCAAGCGUUGUCCGGAAUUACUGGGCGUAAAGAGUUCGUAGGCGGUUUGUCGCGUCGUUUGUGAAAACCAGCAGCUCAACUGCUGGCUUGCAGGCGAUACGGGCAGACUUGAGUACUGCAGGGGAGACUGGAAUUCCUGGUGUAGCGGUGAAAUGCGCAGA